GUCUAAAGCCAUACCACCCUGAACGCACCUGAUCUUGUCUGAUCUCGAAAGCUAAGCAGGGUCGGGCCUGGUUAGUACUUGGAUGGAAUAUAGAUCUUCAGAAGAGACU
rnacentral:rRNA from 1 species